rnacentral:rRNA from 1 species
GAUGAACGCUGGCGGCGUGCCUAAUACAUGCAAGUCGAGCGAACAGACGAGGGGCUUGCUCCUCUGACGUUAGCGGCGGACGGGUGAGUAACACGUGGAUAACCUACCUAUAAGACCGGGAUAACUUCGGGAAACCGGAGCUAAUACCGGAUAAUAUAUUGAACCGCAUGGUUCAAUAGUGAAAGACGGUUUUGCUGUCACUUAUAGAUGGAUCCGCGCCGCAUUAGCUAGUUGGUAAGGUAACGGCUUACCAAGGCAACGAUGCGUAGCCGACCUGAGAGGGUGAUCGGCCACACUGGAACUGAGACACGGUCCAGACUCCUACGGGAGGCAGCAGUAGGGAAUCUUCCGCAAUGGGCGAAAGCCUGACGGAGCAACGCCGCGUGAGUGAUGAAGGUCUUCGGAUCGUAAAACUCUGUUAUUAGGGAAGAACAAAUGUGUAAGUAACUAUGCACGUCUUGACGGUACCUAAUCAGAAAGCCACGGCUAACUACGUG